CUGCGGAGCAAAGGUUGUGCGAUCGUUCGCGACCUGCGAUUUUUACAGGUGGCUUGAUUUCAAAGGAGCCAAUCAACAGCCAGUGCUUUUUGGAAAUCACCAUUGUCUAAUUACUGGAAGUUACAGUGGAGGCGGCCGUCAGACAUUCUGCACAAUGUGGAUCUCUGAAGUGUUACUUGAAAGUGUACCCGACUACUGCAAAUUCAUUAUGGUAACACUAUGUGGAGACAAAGCCUAUAACGCUUAUCUAGCUGAACGGUUUUUCUGCAGCUUCCUUGAAAAGAAUCCAGGAAGCAUUUCCGGAUAAAUCACCAAGCAGGUGUUGAAGAUGACGGCUAUGUUCACUACAGAUUUAACGAGUGAUGAAAGAAAUCUUAUCUACAUAUUCUCAGUGCAAGAAAUGUACGUCUUGAAGAGCGCAUUUCUUUUAAUA